rnacentral:rRNA from 1 species
GCUUGUCUCAAAGAUUAAGCCAUGCAUGUCUAAGUAUAAACAACUUUGUACUGUGAAACUGCGAAUGGCUCAUUAUAUCAGUUAUAGUCUACUCGAUAGUACCUUACUACUUGGAUAACCGUAGUAAUUCUAGAGCUAAUACAUGCAUGAACCCCCGACUUUUGAAGGGGUGUAUUUAUUAGAUUGAAACCAAUGCGGGUUCCCCGGUAUUUGGUGAUUCAUAAUAACUUUCGGAUCGACUUCGGUCGAUGCAUCAUUCAAGUUUCUGCCCUAUCAGCUUUGGAUGGUAGGGUAUUGGCCUACCAUGGCUUUAACGGGUAACGGAGA